rnacentral:rRNA from 1 species
CUAGUGUAGCGGCACAGCUCAAAUUUGAAAGCUAGCCUUCGGGUUCGCAUUGUAAUUUGUAGAGGAUACUUUGGGUAAAACGCCAGUCUAAGUUCCUUGGAACAGGACGUCAUAGAGGGUGAGAAUCCCGUAUGUGACUGGAAACGUUGACCUAUGUAAAGUUCCUUCGACGAGUCGAGUUGUUUGGGAAUGCAGCUCUAAAUGGGAGGUAAAUUUCUUCUAAAGCUAAAUAUUGGCGAGAGACCGAUAGCGCACAAGUAGAGUGAUCGAAAGAUGAAAAGCACUUUGGAAAGAGAGUUAAAAAGCACGUGAAAUUGUUGAAAGGGAAGCGCUUGCAAUCAGACUUGUUUAAACUGUUCGGCCGGUCUUCUGACCGGUUUACUCAGUUUGGACAGGCCAGCAUCAGUUUCGGCGGCCGGAUAAAGGCUCUGGGAAUGUGGCCUCCACUUCGGUGGAGGUGUUAUAGCCCAGUGUGUAAUACGGCCAGCCGGGACUGAGGUCCGCGCUUCGGCUAGGAUGCUGGCGUAAUGGUUGUAAGCGACCCGUCUUGA